rnacentral:rRNA from 1 species
UACAGAGGUCUCAAGCGUUGUUCGGAUUCAUUGGGCGUAAAGGGUGCGUAGGCGGCGCGGUAAGUCGGGUGUGAAAUCUCGGGGCUUAACUCCGAAACUGCAUUCGAUACUGCCGUGCUUGAGGACUGGAGAGGAGUCUGGAAUUUACGGUGUAGCGGUGAAAUGCGUAGAUAUCGUAAGGAAGACCAGUGGCGAAGGCGGCUUUCUGGUCUGCUCUUGACGCUGAGGCGCGAAAGCUAGGGUAGCAAACGGG